GUUGGAGCGGGGCCCGGGGGUCGGAGGCGGAGGGGGGCGCAGACACGGCCUGUCCUUGGCACAGCCUCCCCCAAGUGUCAGGUGGGGCGCCCCGACCCCUUCUGCAGCAGGAAAGGUACCCGUGCCGGCGGCGACGCCGUGUGGAGCAGCUGCAUCUUCCUCCCGUGAGGCUGGCCGAGCUCCACGCUGAUCUGAAGAUACAGGAGAGGGACGAACUCGCCUGGAAGAAACUAAAGCUUGACGGCUUGGAUGAAGAUGGGGAGAAGGAAGCGAGACUCAUACGCAACCUCAAUGUCAUCUUGGCCAAGUAUGGUCUGGACGGGAAGAAGGACGCUCGGCAGGUGACCAGCAACUCCCUCAGUGGCACCCAGGAAGACGGGCUGGAUGACCCCAGGCUGGAAAAGUUGUGGCACAAGGCGAAGACCUCUGGGAAAUUCUCCAGCGAAGAACUGGACAAGCUCUGGCGGGAGUUCCUGCAUCACAAAGAGAAAGUUCACGAGUACAACGUCCUGCUGGAGACCCUGAGCAGGACUGAAGAAAUCCACGAGAACGUCAUUAGCCCCUCGGACCUGAGCGACAUCAAGGGCAACGUCCUGCACAGCAGGCACACGGAGCUGAAGGAGAAGCUGCGCAGCAUCAACCAGGGCCUGGACCGCCUGCGCAGGGUCAGCCACCAGGGCUAUAGCACUGAGGCCGAGUUCGAGGAGCCCAGGGUGAUUGACCUGUGGGACCUGGCGCAGUCGGCCAACCUCACGGACAAGGAGCUGGAGGCAUUCCGGGAGGAGCUUAAGCACUUUGAAGCCAAAAUCGAGAAGCACAACCACUACCAGAAGCAGCUGGAGAUUGCGCACGAGAAGCUGAGGCACGCAGAGAGCGUGGGCGACGGCGAGCGUGUGAGCCGCAGCCGCGAGAAGCACGCCCUGCUGGAGGGGCGGACCAAGGAGCUGGGCUACACGGUGAAGAAGCAUCUGCAGGACCUGUCCAGCAGGAUCUCCAGAGCUCGGCACAACGAACUCUGAAGGCGUUGGGGAGCCCGGCCCGGCAGGGAAGAGUCCGGCGU
rnacentral:sRNA from 1 species